GACGAACGCUGGCGGCGUGCUUAACACAUGCAAGUCGAACGGAAAGGCCCUGCUGUUGUGGGAUGCUCGAGUGGCGAACGGGUGAGGAACACGUGAGUAACCUGCCCUUGACUUUGGGAUAACUUCAGGAAACUGGGGCAAAUACCGGAUAGGAGCUCCGGCUGCGUGGUGGGGGUUGGAAAGUUUCGGCGGUGGGGGAUGGACUAGCGGAUUAGCAGCUUGUUGGUGGGGUAGUGGCUUACCAAGGCUUUGGCGGGUGGCUGGCCUGAGAGGGUGACCGGCCACAUUGGGACUGAGAUACGGCCGAGACUCGUACGGGAGGCAGCAGUGGGGAAUAUUGCACAAUGGGCGGAAGCCUGAUGCAGCAACGCCGCGUGCGGGAUGACGGCCUUCGGGUUGUAGACCGCUUUCGCCUGUGACGAAGCGUGAGUGACGGUAAUGGGUAAAGAAGCACCGGCUAACUACGUG
rnacentral:rRNA from 1 species